rnacentral:lncRNA from 1 species
UCUUCUUGAAUCGGGAAGACUUAGUCGCGUGUAACCGUUACAGAAAACCAGCGGAAAGAGAUUUGUAAGCGUAAGCACGGUCGACACCAGACUGUCACUGGAGAUCCUUUAUAACUGGUCAGCUUCAAGAUCGCAAUUUGAAAGAGAAAUCUGAGAGGAAAUUGAUUUGAAAUGAAUGUUGGCACAGAACCGUAACAGAAAACCAGCCGAAAGAGAGAUUUCCUGACGGGAAGUAUUUCUUUAUUUCGAAAUUAAUUAAUUUUCAAGUGUGACAUAAAAAACCCGCAAAACUGGUUUGCUAUAAGACCAAAAUUUAAAGGGUGAAUUUGGUUCGAGUGUUAGUAUGCACAUGCGUCUACAAGUGAUACCAGCACGCUUUAUUUUCGGAAUUAUCUGACAAUCGGGGACUCAUUGAAACUGAUCUGCCUCAAACCCAAAAUUCGAAGGGUGGAAAUGAGUUCAGAGUGGAAAAAGCACAGGAAUAAAUACACCGAGUAAUCAUAGCAUGAUUCCUUGCAGCAUUAUUUAAGAAUCGCGAACUCGGCUUCAGCGGUCACAACUCGAGGCUCGAACGUAACUCAAAUAAAUUCAGUGAAUCGAUGAAUAUUUAUAAUUUCCAGCGAAAAUUAAUUAUGAAAAACGCCACUCGGCGGUUGACCGAGCUCAGCGGUAACGACUCGCGGUGUGCUAGACGGGUGGUCGUUUUCCUUUCAGUUUAGGGAUUUUCCUCGCGAAAAAGUGCGCAAAGGAACGGUGUUUUCAUUAAUUGAUUCAUGCAUUGGCACGUCUCGGAGUUGUAUUUUAGUUCCUAAUCGUAAAAUUUCGAUGAGAAGAUAUUUUAGUUUACACCAGUCGACUCAGUUCUUAUGAAACUCGUUCGACGUGAAGAUACUUCAUUGAGUGCGCCUUUAUUGAAUAGUGACUAAAAAAAUCAAAUUCGCCCCGUUGAAGAACAUCAGGCACAGAGUGAAGUCCAAGAUCAGCCAAAUGAAUGACGCGCCUUAAAGGACCCACCUCACCUGUUGCCGUCAGGAUCACGUUUAACUCUGCCGCUGGAUCAGUACUGCUGAGAGCAAAAUUCUGGCGAGUCAGUUCCUCGAAAAGGCAAAGAAAAUGACAUGUGGCAU